rnacentral:rRNA from 1 species
CACGUAGGGCGCGAGCGUUUGUCCGGAAUUAUUGGGCGUAAAGAGCUCGUAGGCGGUCUGUCGCGUCGGCUGUGAAAACCCGGGGCUCAACCCCGGGCCUGCAGUCGAUACGGGCAGACUAGAGUGCGGUAGGGGAGACUGGAAUUCCUGGUGUAGCGGUGAAAUGCGCAGAUAUCAGGAGGAACACCGGUGGCGAAGGCGGGUCUCUGGGCCGUAACUGACGCUGAGGAGCGAAAGCGUGGGGAGCGAACAGG